UGGGGAAUAUUGCACAAUGGGCGCAAGCCUGAUGCAGCGACGCCGCGUGAGGGAUGACGGCCUUCGGGUUGUAAACCUCUGUUAGCAGGGAAGAAGAGAGAUUGACGGUACCUGCAGAGAAAGCGCCGGCUAACUACGUGCCAGCAGCCGCGGUAAUACGUAGGGCGCGAGCGUUGUCCGGAAUUAUUGGGCGUAAAGAGCUUGUAGGCGGUUUGUCGCGUCUGCUGUGAAAGGCCGGAGCUUAACUCCGUGUAUUGCAGUGGGUACGGGCAGACUAGAGUGCAGUAGGGGAGACUGGAAUUCCUGAUGUAGCGGUGGAAUGCGCAGAUAUCAGGAGGAACACCGAUGGCGAAGGCAGGUCUCUGGGCUGUAACUGACGCUGAGAAGCGAAAGCAUGGGGAGCGAACAGGAUUAGAUACCCUGGUAGUCCAUGCCGUAAACGUUGGGCACUAGGUGUGGGGAACAUUCCACGUUUUCCGCGCCGUAGCCAACGCAUUAAGUGCCCCGCCUGGGGAGUACGGCCGCAAGGCUA
rnacentral:rRNA from 1 species